AUGGUGUGCUUGGCAAACAGAGAGAUUUACCCAAGGCCACCUCGUUGCCAUCUGCCAGGUUGGGAGCUUUGGAGCAGGAGGCAGAGGACGGGGCUCUGCCUGGCAUGCACUUGCCCCUCUGGCUCUCCUGGGGUGCCCACCCAGAGAUGCUGGCCACGCAGAUGGGUGCGUCCAGGAAGGCGACUCCGUAUACCACUGAGGACUUCUCUGCAACACUCUGGAAGUCUUUAUCAAGGGGUUGCCCGUUCUAGAAUACUCUAUGUGAUUGCUGCCUCCACAUCGGGCUCCCAUUAAGUUUUCACGUAAAGAAAAAAUUCAGGAACUGGCUUCAGGUGGCCCCUGAGCCAUCUCUCUGAGGAGGAGGUACCUGCGGGUGGACCAUUACCCAGGUGAGAAUGUGCUUGGAUCCCAGGACCGGGAGUUCAGGGACCUCGGCUCUUCCUGGUGGGGCCCCUUGAGCUCCGACUGGGGCUCGCUCGUCAUUUUGUCGUGGGUUGCAUUCGGGGCAGGUGCUCUGUGUCAUGAGGCCGUAGAGUGGGAGUGGGGGGAGGUGACCCAAGUGUCUCUUCUCCUGGAAGGCUUGGCUGGGAGAGGCCGGAGGAGGGGCAGGAGCGGCCGCGGACGGGCCUGCGCGUGUGCGUGGGGGUGGGUGCGCGGGGCCCGCGGACAGGGGCGCAGGCUGUCCCU